ACUCCAGUGCAUGUUGCUUCUUGUUAGUAUACCUUGAAAAAAUAUGCCGUGAUUUGUCUAUGUUGUGUUGGCACAAAAAAAACAGAUCAACAGUACAUUUCAUUUCCCCUUAAA